GAUGAUGAACGCAGCGAAAUGCGAUAAGUAAUGUGAAUUGCAGAAUUCAGUGAAUCAUCGAAUCUUUGAACGCACAUUGCGCCCCUUGGUAUUCCGGGGGGCAUGCCUGUUCGAGCGUCAUUUCAACCCUCAAGCUCAGCUUGGUAUUGAGUCCAUGUCAGUAAUGGCAGGCUCUAAAAUCAGUGGCGGCGCCGCUGGGUCCUGAACGUAGUAAUAUCUCUCGUUACAGGUUCUCGGUGUGCUUCUGCCAAAACCCAAAUUUUCUAUGGUUGACCUCGGAUCAGGUAGGGAUACCCGCUGAACUUAAGCAUAUCAAUAAGCGGAGGA
rnacentral:misc_RNA from 1 species